rfam:Homo sapiens chromosome 19, GRCh38 reference primary assembly.
GCUGGGUGCAGUGGCGGGUGCCUGUAAUCCCAGGUACAUGGAGGCUGAGGCAGGAGAAUUGCUUGAGCCCGGGAAGCAGAGGAUGCAGUGAGCUGAGAUCGUGCCACUUACUCCACCCUGGGCAACAGAGUGAGACUCUGUCUCAA